rnacentral:rRNA from 1 species
UACGUAGGUGGCAAGCGUUAUCCGGAAUUAUUGGGCGUAAAGUGCGCGCAGGCGGUUUCUUAAGUCUGAUGUGAAAGCCCACGGCUCAACCGUGGAGGGUCAUUGGAAACUGGGGAACUUGAGUGCAGAAGAGAAAAGCGGAAUUCCACGUGUAGCGGUGAAAUGCGUAGAGAUGUGGAGGAACACCAGUGGCGAAGGCGACUCUUUGGCCUGUAACUGACGCUGAGGCGCGAAAGCGUGGGGAGCAAACAGG